GUGUCAGCAGCCGCGGUAAUACGAAGGGGGCUAGCGUUGUUCGGAAUUACUGGGCGUAAAGGGCGCGCAGGCGGCUCUUCAAGUCAGAUGUGAAAGCCCCGGGCUCAACCUGGGAACUGCAUUUGAGACUGGAGAGCUCGAGUUCGGGAGAGGAGAGCGGAAUUCCCAGUGUAGAGGUGAAAUUCGUAGAUAUUGGGAAGAACACCGGUGGCGAAGGCGGCUCUCUGGACCGAUACUGACGCUGAGGCGCGAAAGCGUGGGGAGCAAACAGGAUUAGAAACCCGGGUAGUCC
rnacentral:rRNA from 1 species